UUGUGAGGCAUCUCCGGGCAGGGCGCCGGCCUAAGUUCCUUGGAACAGGACGUCAUAGAGGGUGAGAAUCCCGUGCUUGGCUGGCUGUCCCCGUCCAUGUGAGGUGUCUUCGACGAGUCGAGUUGUUUGGGAAUGCAGCUCAAAAUGGGUGGUAAAUUUCAUCUAAAGCUAAAUAUUGGUGGGAGACCGAUAGCGCACAAGUAGAGUGAUCGAAAGAUGAAAAGCACUUUGAAAAUAGAGUUAAAAAGUACGUGAAAUUGUUGAAAGGGAAGCGCUUGAGACCAGACUUCGGUGGGGAGUGAUCAGCUGUCCUUCUGGGCGGUGCACUUGCUCCCCUCCGGGCCAGCAUCGGUUGGGACGGCGGGAUAAAGGUCCCGGGAAUGUGGCUCCUCUCGGGGAGUGUUAUAGCCCGGGUGAAUGCCGCCAGCCCCGACCGAGGACCGCGCCUUCGGGCUAGGAUGCUUGGCAUAAUGGUCUUCAGCGAC
rnacentral:rRNA from 1 species